UUCCGGUUGAUCCUGCCGGACCCGACUGCUAUCAGAGUAGGACUAAGCCAUGCGAGUCAACGUAUGAAUAAUACGUGGCGAACGGCUCAGUAACACGUAGUCAACAUGCCCACAGGACGUGGAUAACCUCGGGAAACUGAGGAUAAACCGCGAUAGGUCAUAACUACUGGAAUGUGUUAUGGCUCAAAUCUAUAUGGCCUUUGGAUUGGACUGCGGCCGAUCAGGCUGUUGGUGAGGUAAUGGCCCACCAAACCUGUAACCGGUACGGGCUCUGAGAGGAGGAGCCCGGAGAUGGGCACUGAGACAAGGGCCCAGGCCCUAUGGGGCGCAGCAGGCGCGAAACCUCUGCGAUGGACGAAAGCCUGACAGGGUUACUCUGAGUGAUUCCCGCUAAGGGGAUCUUUUGGCACCUCUAAAA
rnacentral:rRNA from 1 species